CCUACGGGUGGCAGCAGUGAGGAAUAUUGGUCAAUGGACGAGAGUCUGAACCAGCCAAGUAGCGUGAAGGAUGACUGCCCUAUGGGUUGUAAACUUCUUUUAUAUGGGAAUAAAAUGUUCCACGUGUGGGAUUUUGUAUGUACCAUAUGAAUAAGGAUCGGCUAACUCCGUGCCAGCAGCCGCGGUAAUACGGAGGAUCCGAGCGUUAUCCGGAUUUAUUGGGUUUAAAGGGAGCGUAGGUGGAUUGUUAAGUCAGUUGUGAAAGUUUGCGGCUCAACCGUAAAAUUGCAGGUGAAACUGGCAGUCUUGAGUACAGUAGAGGUGGGCGGAAGUCGUGGUGUAGCGGUGAAAUGCUUAGAUAUCACGAAGAACUCCGAUUGCGAAGGCAGUUCACUGGACUGCAACUGACACUGAGGCUCGAAAGUGUGGGUAUCAAACAGGAUUAGAUACCCGGGUAGUC
rnacentral:rRNA from 1 species